rnacentral:sRNA from 1 species
GCAAUAGAUUAGGUGUCUCAUUGGUGUCGGCAUGCUCCCAAUGGAAAGGGGGUGCUGCUGUUUGACAAUUUUUGAAACUUUUACGAUCGUGAUUGGUUUUGCUAGUUUAAUUGUAGCCAUUUUGUCAUUUAGUCAAAAAAAAUAAUCCACCCUUGAGUUUGCAGACUCAGGUGGAUUAUUAAUUCCCCGCUUAAUUGCCGAUCCUUUUAUGAGGACCUUCUAUUGCUGGACCGACAUGUAGCAGCAUGUUCG